CCCUAGUCCUGCUUCCUUCCCCAACCAAACAUGCUGCCUUGCAUAGUUCGUAAUCCGGCCACGACGCAAAUUGUAUUCUUUGCCAGCUUAGAAAGUAACCGCCGCCUUGAAUCAUCAAAAACCGUCCACGUAAUCCAACAAAAAAUGCAAUGUAUAGAGCUAAUGAUCCGACGGUCUUGACCAAAUCUUCAGAAAAAUCGUAAAUUCAUACUUGUACUCCUUCCUUUACAAAUUCCUCCUUAACCGAUCUCCUCAAUUUCAAUUGGAUUCACUUCCCCUAUUGUUGUUUUAUUUCUGGGCAUCGAGUUUUCAGAAAUUUUUAGUGAUUUGGGGAAGAAAGGGAAGGGAUUCUGCUCUGUCUGCUCGAUAUUUUUCGGAAUUUGUCUUAAAAAAGGGUUUUCCAUUCAGAUCUUGGUAUAAUUGGACUCAUGAUUUGCAAGAAAGAUACUGAGGUGGAGGUAUUGGAAAAAGGGGAAGCGCCUUUAGGAUCCUGGAGACCUGCCAGGAUUCUAUCAGGAAAUGGCCAUACCUAUGAGGUCAAAUAUGAUAGUUGUGUUCUGGAGGCAGAUGUGUUAAGGAACAAAGUUCCAAGGAAAGCGCUUAGGCCCCGGCCUCCUCCUGUUGAGGUAAAAGGCUGGGCUUGUUCUGAUUUAGUAGAGGUUUGUGAAGAUGGAUCAUGGAAGAUUGCAGAAGUGUUGAGGACACUUGAUUCGAAUAUGGUCGUUGCAAGGCUCCUGGGAUCUUCGAAGGAGAUUGUCAGUCCUCUUUUUCAGCUCAGGAUGCCACAGAUCUGGAAGGACAACCAUUGGAUUCCAUUACAGAAAGAAUCUGUGAAAUGCAAAGAUUUAGAUGUAAAAACCUUGUCAAAAAAGCGGAACUUGAGCUGUCAAAUACCCUGUCUAUCUGUAGUGGAGAAAAAAUGUAAGCGAGUUGAUCGACAUGCAGAAAAAUAUGAUCAUUCUGUGGAUCAAUGGUAUCAAAAGUCUCUUGGAAGUUUGAAGAAAAAGUCAUGGGAAUGUAGAUCUCCUGUUCAUCCGAAUUCUGGAGCUCUUGGAAAGAAGAAACAAAUCAAGAAGAAAGGAAGAUGCUUUGAACUUGUCGAAAAGAAUUUGACAAACCAGCUCUUUGAAAAGGUAGAUGCUGUUAAUUCACCACAACAAUUUUAUGGUGAAAAACAAAUGUAUUCUGCCUUUUGUCAUGAAACAGUUGGAUUUGAUCAAAUAGGCGUAUAUUGCAAAAGUCCAAUUGCUAAUGCUGGAACUAAUCUUAUAGUGAGUUUAGACCAUUUGGAUAAUGAGAGUACAACAUCCUCUGUUGGUAGUUGUAGUGUGUUUAAUGGUUCAUGUAGGCCACUUUAUCAUAAGGCCAAUCAGAGGCAAGAAGUAUGUGGUCAUAAUAAUGAUGCAGAAUCCUUUUGCGGCUCUUCAACCGAACCAUCUCAUUCUAGAGAAGACGACAAGGCAGAAGCAAUUCAUUGGCUAGAGUUGGAUGCAUACCGUUCCACAUUGAGGUUCAAAGAAUAUCAUCUUCAAGACUAUAGCGUUUGUUUUUUAAAGCAGUUAAAUUUAAAACGGAGCAGCUUGGCAAAGGAAUUGCAAAACUCUAUGUACUACAGUAUUUGUUCGCUCGAAGCUAACCACUAAACGCCGGAGUGGAUCACCUUUCAGACUUGUGGUGCGAUAGAGUGGUAUCAGAUGAUUUGAGCAAAAAAAAAUUUCUGCCUAUGCAACUUGGAUGAUCGCUCGGGAGUAAUAAUUAAUUCUUGAGAUGGUGCAACUUCAAUUUGAGGAUGUAGGUGUUAAGCCCUAAGAAGGUAAAAUGGAUAAAGAAGCCAUGACACCACCACGCCUGUUGUGAGGAUUGGUUUGAGAUGUUGGCUUGGCACUCCUGCGUCUUAGGUGGCAUGCCCGCAUUGCUCAACAGAGGAGGUGGCACCCUCGCGCUAAGUAGGCGUUAUGCUUAUGCCUUCCCACAGAGAAAGCGACAUGCCCGUUUUGGGUAGUGGCAAUGAGUACGCCUAGUUCCGCGAUUUACUGAAUUUGACUGGUUUUGAGGCAAUUUUUGAGGCCCGGAUUAUAUAAGCGCAUGCAUUGAAGCUCUAGAAACACUUCUGGCUCUACAAGUUCCUCUUUAAGCUUAGAAAAGCCUUCUUUUUUGUGUUCCCUAGAGUUUUCUUCUUAAAUUUUUUCAGGAGAGAAUUUCCUAGCGGUUUUUAUUUUAUUUUUUGUCUGUUUUGGUGAGUUGGAGAGGGUGAGAUAUUAGAGUGCUUGUAUGAGGGAGAUCAUGUGGAGUGCUUGUGUUUCAAGGAUAUAAUCGAGGAGUAAAUCAGGGCAUGGAUUAUCUGGUUUAAUUUCCUGUACUUAUUUUAUAUGUUGGCUUUCUUUAUUACAAAAAUACUUCAAACAAGACUUAGAUGUUUAGUAAAUUAGAACACUG